AUUGAACGCUGGCGGCAGGCCUAACACAUGCAAGUCGAGCGGUAGAGAGGUGCUUGCACCUCUUGAGAGCGGCGGACGGGUGAGUAAUGCCUAGGAAUCUGCCUGGUAGUGGGGGAUAACGCUCGGAAACGGACGCUAAUACCGCAUACGUCCUACGGGAGAAAGCAGGGGACCUUGGGGCCUUGCGCUAUCAGAUGAGCCUAGGUCGGAUUAGGUAGUUGGUGAGGUAAUGGCUCACCAAGGCGACGAUCCGUAACUGGUCUGAGAGGAUGAUCAGUCACACUGGAACUGAGACACGGUCCAGACUCCUACGGGAGGCAGCAGUGGGGAAUAUUGGACAAUGGGCGAAAGCCUGAUCCAGCCAUGCCGCGUGUGUGAAGAAGGUCUUCGGAUUGUAAAGCACUUUAAGUUGGGAGGAAGGGUCGUUACCUAAUACGUGACGAUUUUGACGUUACCGACAGAAUAAGCACCGGCUAACUCUGUGCCAGCCGCCGCCGUAAAAC
rnacentral:rRNA from 1 species